CCAGAAGUGGUUAGUUUAACCCCUUUUCUUCGGAUUAGGGGAGGACGAUCACCACGGUGUGGUUCAUGACUGGGGUGAAGUCGUAACAAGGUAGCCCUAGGGGAACCUGGGGCUGGAUCACCUCCUUAAACGAUAGAU
rnacentral:rRNA from 1 species